UAUUUAGUUCUAAUUGUGCCCGUGUGUAUUUUCAGAAAUGAUUUAUUGGAGGACAAUGGUGUUGUUCUGAUUCAUGAUUGGGAAAGACGAUCUUACCAUAAGGUUUUAAGUCAAGGUUUUAAAAUAUUGAAGGAAGAAAAAACAUCUGCACGACAUCUAGUGGCUUUACAAGUAGCAAAAUAAUUGACAA